rnacentral:rRNA from 1 species
AAACGACUCUCGGCAACGGAUAUCUCGGCUCUCGCAUCGAUGAAGAACGUAGCGAAAUGCGAUACUUGGUGUGAAUUGCAGAAUCCCGUGAACCAUCGAGUUUUUGAACGCAAGUUGCGCCCAAAACCUUCGGGUCGAGGGCACGUCUGCCUGGG